rnacentral:lncRNA from 1 species
CUUAGUUUGCUCAUUUCCAGGAUGAAAAUAAGUCAUGGGGUAUAAUAUGUACUUCUUCCUACUUCUCAGGUUCAAAUGAAAUAAUGUGACUGUGCAUAGAAAACAUCCAAAAGACCAUACAAAUAGAAGUCACUAUCAGUGUUAUGCUUACCUAUUACUUGGUUUAUGCAUUCCCAAGUAUCCAGCUUUUACUAGAAUAUUAAACAAAAGAGGAGCAGGAAAGCAUUGUUUUUCUUCCCACUGGUGACCAAAUGGGUGAAUGUCCUUAUCUGUAUUCUGUAAUCAAGAUUGAAAAAAUAAGAAAACUGUUUCAUCAAAAGGGAGUUUUCCUGUAAAAACUUUUUCCUGAACUGUAAAUUAUGUAGUCAGAACAGUUCUUUGACUUCAGGUUUAAGUCCAUUAUAAAUAAUACUAAUAGAAAUUAUACUCUGCCUAUUUUUCCAUUUCUUUCUAAUUCCAGACAUCAUCUAGGUAUCCUUAUUCUAAUAUGUAAAGGAAAGAAAAGAGAAAAUGUUGGGUUGCAUUGUAUUGUAAAUAGCAGUAAAACACUCAGAGACAGCAUUAUAGCAAAUAUCUGUUUAAGCAAAGCCCAACCAAAUACCUCAUUCAGCGGAAAUUUUGUUUUAACUUAGCUUUUAGGAAAUAUAGGAGGUUGAAAUUAGCCUAAUCAGUUUUUGGCAAUAAUAAUCAUGAUGAUGAUGGAUAUAAAGGAUAAGAAUGAGAAGAAGUGAGAGAAAGGAGGAGAGAGAAUAGAGAAGAAAGAAGAGAAAGAAGAAGAGGAGGAUAAUGGAGGCAAAGAUGGAGAGGAAGAAAACCAAGGUGUCAACAGCAAUGUGGAAGACCAAGAAGAGCACAUUUGAUGAAGACACGUGGUGGGGUGUGUUGCUGACUGUUCAGCCAGAAGCCCAGAGUCUUGACCGAAGAAAUUUGUCAGCCUCCUUUGAGCUCUUUGAAGGGAUUUUUGUCCUCUGGGAUGCCCUUUACCAGUGGAUCCUUGCCAGAUCAUUCUUCAACGUAAUCUCUUCUUCACAACAUUUGGAUACCUUAAGGGGAAGGAAAAACGGAUGACUCAUUUGGUUUAAAACAGAAUACUCCAGAUGCCAAGAAUUUAUUUACUGCAAUAAGUUUUCAGGUCGUAUAAUUUCAGUUUGAUUCUCUCUGCUUUCCACCAAUGCAUACGUACUUUGUAGGAAAGAAGAAAGUUGCACCCUUCCCACUCCUUCUGGAUAUAUCUCCAGACAAAGGAAAAACAGCUGGCCAUGCUCCAGCUAAAGAUUCCCCGUAGACACUGCCUCCAACAUCAAAGGAGACAAGACCCAGGAAUCAGAACACAACUGGCAACGGAAGUCAAGAAUGUCAUCAGAUUUCAUACUGAUUAAAUCUUUUUCCUCAUUCCAAAAAUGUGACUCGUAAAGGUGGAAGAGAAUAAUUAUUAAAUUCCAGGCUUAUCAUCAUCCCUAAAUUCUCAGAAGUAUAUACAUGGCGUGAUCUCCACUCACUGCAACCUCCAUCCUCCACCUUCUGGGUUCA